CUGAAGUUUGGCAUGAGUGAAAAGGAAGAAGACUUUAAUCGCUCUGAUAUUGACUGAAAUAGCCGACAAUGAAGACUGAUGAAGCUCUGGGAGCUGUUGGAGGUCAUCCCCCUAACAGGACAACCCAAAGGAGGAGCAGUAUUGAAUUGUAUCCCCCUGACAUGAGAUCAGAGCAGACAGAGAUCGGUCAGAGUGAUCAACCUUGUGGCCCCCUCGGCACUGUGAUGCACUGGAGGACGACGUUGACAAAGUCGAUGAUUAUCAACUUUAUUGUGAUGUUUGACCAGGUUCUACAUUGGAUAUACAAUUUAUUUAAGAAGAUGAGGAGGAGAUGAGAAGCUGAGUUAGAGAACUUCUUGAUUUGGAGCCUCGCAGUCCUGUGAUUCUCUAAGAUCAAAUAAUGAAAAAAGUCACACACAAAAAACAACAUGUAGUCUAUUGCAAUGCACUGGUUGUCUGGAACCAACAGAACCCUGAUCAGCUUCUACCCCCAAGCCAUAAGACUGCUAAAUAGUUAAUCAAAUAGCUACCAGACUAUCUGCACUGACCCUUUUGACACUACCCACACACUCAUACUGACAUUCCAACACAUAUAUAUAUAUAUAUAUACACACGUACACACAAGCAUACUGUCGAAACACACACUUAACCACUCAUCACAUACUGUACGCUGCUGCUACUAUUUAUAUAGUCAAAUUAUCGUUACUCAUUGUGUAUUUAUUCCUUGUGUUACUAUUUUUCUAUUAUAAUUUUGUAUUCUCUACGUUGAUGGGAAGGGCCCGUAAGCAUUUGAUUUGAAUGGAAGGAGAAAGAGAAGGUUCAGAGAAAAGUGAAUGUGACAGGAGAUCGCAUGGGAAACCAACAAAAUAGUUAUUAUUUUUGUGUAUAUAGAAAUUGAUUUGUGGUGUUAUUGUAUACUGAAUAUUGAAUAUGUUAUUGUAUAUAUUGUGGUGUUAUUGUAUAUAUUGUGGUGUUAUUGUUGUAGAUGUGUUAUAGUAUUGUAUAUGUACUAUAUAUCUACUACUUUGUUACAAUGUUUUCUGUUUGGUACCAAAUAAACACGGUCCACCUAUACUGUAUUCAAGAAGGGUUUAGAGAUGCACUGAUACAACUAUGAUUAUCAAUUACGUUUAAAUUUUUACAUUUUAGUCAUUUAGCAGACGCUCUUAUCCAGAGCGACUUACAGUUAGUGAGUGCAUACAUUUUUAUUUUUUAUUUUAUUUUCAUACUUUACCACAAUUAGGAUUUUUAUGUAUGAUGAAGUUGUAUUUCAGCUUCAAUAAUUUAUUCAUGACAUAAGUCUUGCACAGCUGUGUUGGCACUCACACAUACAACACCACAAUGAAAAUACAACUAAAUGCAUUGGCCUGUAUCAGACCACAACAUGAUGCCAAUGGGUGUGUUCUAGACACAUUCUGCACAGAUUAUACAACCACUAGAUCUUAUGGACGUGGUUCCUGAGGUGUUA